rnacentral:misc_RNA from 1 species
GAUGAAGAACGUAGCGAAAUGCGAUAAGUAAUGUGAAUUGCAGAAUUCAGUGAAUCAUCGAAUCUUUGAACGCACAUUGUGCCCGCCAGUAUUCUGGCGGGCAUGCCUGUCUGAGCGUCAUUUCAACCCUCAUGCCCCUAGGGCGUGGUGUUGGGGAUCGGCCAAAGCCCGCGAGGGACGGCCGGCCCCUAAAUCUAGUGGCGGACCCGUCGUGGCCUCCUCUGCGAAGUAGUGAUAUUCCGCAUCGGAGAGCGACGAGCCCCUGCCGUUAAACCCCCAACUUUCCAAGGUUGACCUCAGAUCAGGUAGGAAUACCCGCUGAACUUAAGCAUAUCAAUAAGCGGAGGA